UUAUAACAGGUAGUUUCCCUGCACAAGCUCUCUCUUUGCCUGCUGCCAUUCAUGUAAGACAUGACUUGGUCCUCCUUGUCUUGCACUAUAAUUGUGAGGCCUCCCCAGCCUCAUGGAACGAGAAAACUCUCACUUGUCAGAAUGAACAUGGAAAAGAAGGUUUCCAGGUGCCCAGUGAAAGGCAGAGCAGCACUCACAGUCUCAGAGAAUGGGAAAGUGUCUCUAUGGCAAGCAACAGAAAACUUGUCUCACCAUCAUUAUCUCACCAAAUCUACUCAGAGGUAAAGAGGACAAGCUCUCACCAAAUCUACCCAGAGGAAAAGAAGUCGUUAUAUGAAAAAGAUACUUGCACACACAUGUUUACAGCAGCACAAUUCGCAAUUGCAAAAAUAUGGAACCAGCCCAAACACCAUCAAUCAACAAGUGGAUAAAGAAAUUGUGGUACAUAUAUACCAUGGAAUACUGCUCAGCCAUAAAAAGGAAUAAAUUAAUGGCAUUUGCACCAACCUGGAUGGUAUUGGAGACUAUGAUUCUAAGUGAAGUAACUCAGGAAUGGAAAACCAAACAUCAUAUGUUCUCACUCAUAAAUGGGAGCUAAGUUAUGAGGAUGCAAAAGGCGGUAAGGAUGAUAAAUGGACUUUGGGGACUUGAGGGGAAAAGGGUGGUAAGGGGAUGAGGGAUAAAAGACUACAAAUUGGGUUCAGUGUACAUUGCUCAGGUGAUGGGUGCACCAAAAUCUUACACAUCACCACUAAAGAACUUAUUCAUGUAACCAAAUACCACUUGUUCCCCAAUAGCCUAUGGAAAUUAAAAAAAAAAAAAAACUACUAGAAAAAGUCUAUACCUCAUAUUUUAAAGACUAGAGUAAGGUGUAAAUAAAUAAAUAAAUGUAUAAGUAUUCAUCUCA
rnacentral:lncRNA from 1 species